AGAGCUUUGCUGUGAGACCAGCAUCCACGCGGAUGUGCCCCAGGCUACAUUCAGCUGCGUUCCUAUUGCUAAAGACCUGAACAAGCACAAACUAUACUGGCAUGAAGAGAAUCGACACCUAACCCCAGAGCACAGACCCACACUCCUGUUCAAAGGCUGCCAAGUUCAGAUGCUGGGAGACUGUAUGAUGUCAAACUGUAAUCAGAGGAAGCCACCAACAAGCUGUGCUGCUGCAGUCAUGGGCUAAGAAUCCAUCGUAUUCCAUCUAUACCGCUGUCCACACUUACUGUCUGUAUUCCAGUCAAUAAACUGAUUUUUUUCUGGCCA
rnacentral:lncRNA from 1 species